UAAGGAAUAUUGGUCAAUGGACGCAAGUCUGAACCAGCCAUGCCGCGUGGAGGAUGAAGGUCCUCUGGAUUGUAAACUUCUUUUAUCUGGGACGAAACACUCCUAUUCUUAGGGGCCUGACGGUACCAGAUGAAUAAGCACCGGCUAACUCCGUGCCAGCAGCCGCGGUAAUACGGAGGGUGCAAGCGUUAUCCGGAUUCACUGGGUUUAAAGGGUGCGUAGGUGGGUAUGUAAGUCAGUGGUGAAAUCCCCGAGCUUAACUUGGGAACUGCCGUUGAUACUAUAUAUCUUGAAUGCCGUAGAGGUAAACGGAAUAUGUCAUGUAGCGGUGAAAUGCUUAGAGAUGACAUAGAACACCAAUUGCGAAGGCAGCUUACUAUGCGGUGAUUGACACUGAUGCACGAAAGCGUGGGUA
rnacentral:rRNA from 1 species